UAGGAAGGUGGAUAUGUUGCCGUCUCAAAUGAAAUCGACGUGAUUCAAGUGGCUUCCAUCAUUAACUUAUACAAUGUUCAGUUGCAGCAAAAUGUUGUCUUAUACGAGGCAGCCUUCUUCGAAUUUGCUUACGAGCAUCGCACCGUUGACGGAUACGAGUUGAACGAAUUGCUCAAGGCUUACCGGUGUUCUUUCAGCACGCUUUUUACGACGCUCGUGGAAAGAUGGUACACAGCGUUUGUGAUUUCUUGUCGGCUGUCUUUUACAUCACCGUAGCAUAUGGUAACGUAAUGUACAGAAACUACCGAAGAUGAAUGCCGCUUCAUCUAAAAUUUUAUGUGUCCAUUAAGUGUAUAUCUAUAUUGCUUUGAUGUCCUCAUAACAAAUCUGUUCAACAUAAAUGCAGGCAAAUGGUUACUAGCUCCACUUCCAAAUACUAACAGAAAAACUGGAAAACGUAGGAAUGAAAGCAAAAUAACGAGACAGACACGGAAAACUAACGGGUAACCGCAGCAAAUGUGAUGUGUCAAAGUAAAGCACGCCAUCAGUGCCAGUAACGAGGCUGCUUCACUUUUGUACGCAAGAAGAAAGGGUGAGACAGUUGCGGAAGUAGAGAAUGGACCGGGCAAAUCAACACUGGCAGAAACUGGUGAGACCAUUGCAGUAAACGGCGUUAACAAACAGCAACGAUUGUGCUUUAUUGUUAUAUGUGUG